UCUCGCUGAUGCUAAGCAGCGGCGGCGCUGCCAUCGACAAGCUCGGCAUCGUCUCGAUUCUCCGCCAAUGCGCGAGCACGCGCGCGAUCUCCGAUGGGCGGCGGAUCCACGGGCAGAUCGUGGCGGCGGGGCACGGCGGCGACACCCUGCUGUGCAAUCUCCUCGUCCAGAUGUAUGGCAGCUGCGGCAGCGUCGACGAGGCGAUGGCGGUGUUCCUGGACGCGCCCAGCCGCAAGAACAUCUUCUCCUGGAGUAUCGUCAUCACGGUUCUCGUCCACAACGGGGAGAUCUCCAUCGCCAGCGAGGUCUUCCGCAAGAUGCCCCAACACUCGCCCUUUUGCUGGAACUCGAUGAUCCAGGGGUUUGCUCGCAGCGAGCUCAUGGAGGAAUCCAAACUCGCGUUCGAUGCGAUGCCCCAACAGGAUCUCAUCGCCUGGACGACGCUUAUCACUGGAUUCGCCGCGACGGGACACUCGAUCCACGCGAAGAGGACGUUCGAUCGGAUGCCACAGCACGAUCUAGUCUCUUGCAACGCGAUGCUCACGGCAUUUGCCCAGAAUGGUCAUCUGGAAGAGGCGCACAGGCUGCGAGAGGAGAUGCCACACAAGGACGUGUUCUCCUGGAACACGAUGAUCAAAACCCUCGCGGAUCAGGGAUUGGCGAUCCAGGCGAGAUCGAUGCUCCAGAGAAUGCCCCAGCACAAUCUCGUCUCGUGGAACGCCGCGAUCCGGGUGUUUGCCAAGAGCGGGCAAAUCGCUAACGCGAAAGAGGUGUUUGAUUCGUCGUGCGAGAGGAACGUCGUGUCGUGGACGACGCUGGUGUCCGGAUUCGUCACCGCGGGCGCGAUCGAUCGCGCGAGAGUGAUCCUCGAUCGAAUGCCGCAGCAAAACUCGGUGUCCUGGAACAAUCUCCUCGCGGCGCACGGACAGAACAGGAGGAUCGAUCUGGCGCUGGCGGCGUUCCAGCGAAUCGAGGACAAGAACGUCUACUCGUGGAACUCGCUGAUCCAGGCGUUUGUGGAGGCCGAUCGAUUGGAGGACGCGAGGAGCCUGUUCGAGAGAAUGCCACAGCGGGGAUUGCCGUCGUGGAACUCGAUGAUCUCCGCCCACGGCGAGGCCGGCGAUUGCGCGGCCGCGCGAGAGAUCUUCCAGGCCAUGCCCGAUAGAAACCUAAUCUCCUGGAACGCGAUGGUCCAGGCGCUAGCCCUCGAGGGCCAUAUCCAAGAAGCUCGAGCGGUGUUUGACGCUGCCGGGAAUCGAAACGCGAACACCUGGACCACGAUGCUCGGGGCAUAUGCCUCGGGCGGGAGAACCGACGGUGCGAUGGGCGUCUUUCAAAAGAUGCCGUACCACGACACGGUGGCGUGGACGGCCAUGAUACACGCCCACGCCAAGGGCGGGGAUUUGCCCGCCGCGCGCCGGAUGUUCGACACGUGGCAAGGCAACCACGACGUUGUGGCCUGGAAUGCGAUGAUCGCUGGCUAUGCGCAGGACGGGCAUAGCGGGACGGCGCUAGGGUUCUUCAGGCUCAUGGAUCUGGAAGGGAUCACCCCGAAUUCUAUCAGCUUUGUGUGCGUGAUUGAUGCGUGCGCCACCGACGCCGCGAUUUCCAGGGGAAGAAUCGUGCAUUCGGUCAUCCGCCAGGACGAUCCGGCGCAGCUCAGGGUCUCGUUCGUCGCGAAUUCGCUGCUCAACAUGUACGCGAAGUGUGGCAAGCUGGAGGAGGCGCGCGCGGUGUUUGAUUCCAUGGCGUCCCCAAAUAUGAUGUCCUGGAACGCGAUGAUCUCGGCGUAUGCGCAAAACGGCCAUAGCUGGGACGCUCUGGAUCUCUCCCGCGCCAUGGAGCAGCACGGGAUCGAUCCAAACGGGGUCACAUUCGUCAGCAAUCUCUUCGCUUGCAGCCACGCCGGGCUCAUCGCGGAUGGAUGGAGAUAUUUCACAGCGAUCUCGCCAGAUUAUGGGCUGGAGGUGACGAUCGAUCACUACAUUUCGGUGAUAGAUCUACUGGGGCGCGCGGGGCAGACCGAUGAGGCCUGCGAAUUGAUGCACAGCAUGCCAUUCGAGCCGGAUUUUGCCGCCUGGACGACGCUCCUCUCCUCGUGUAAGACGAGCCUGGAGAACUAAAGUCCAUUUGCAAUGUAGCGACCUCCGUGGAUUACACAUUUACCUCCAGGUCCGAAGGUGGCAGCGAAACUAUACGGGAGCUUAUCUCGACAAACCAGCAACGAAUUUGAGCAAAAAGUUCGUGCGCUGCUCGACUAACAAAGUCCGCUGCUCGAUCAACAGAGUUUUGAUCGAUGAUCUGGAGCCACAGUGAAAAUUGGAUGUCUCAAGUAUGUAUUAUUAUUUCCUUGUGCUAUGCUCUUAUCUUACAUGUUAGGUAUGUAAAUACUGAGCUAAUAAGUCAGCUCAACGAGAUUUAAGUGUUCUGAUGACAGAGAUCAGAUUGAUCGUAACAUAAUGCCGGCGUGGCUUCCGCUCACGAAGAGUUCCUCGUGGAAAGGAUGCCAUGCCAAUGCUGCGUUUAGUUCACUUUAUGCUGUGAGUUGAAACACUUACCUUGAUUACUUAUCCCUUCAGCUAGUUAAUGCCCGAUUACCAUUGCUGUACUGUAUUUUUGUGUUAGC